rnacentral:rRNA from 1 species
GGCGGACGGGUGAGUAACACGUGGAUAACCUACCUAUAAGACUGGGAUAACUUCGGGAAACCGGAGCUAAUACCGGAUAAUAUUUUGAACCGCAUGGUUCAAAAGUGAAAGACGGUCUUGCUGUCACUUAUAGAUGGAUCCGCGCUGCAUUAGCUAGUUGGUAAGGUAACGGCUUACCAAGGCAACGAUGCAUAGCCGACCUGAGAGGGUGAUCGGCCACACUGGAACUGAGACACGGUCCAGACUCCUACGGGAGGCAGCAGUAGGGAAUCUUCCGCAAUGGGCGAAAGCCUGACGGAGCAACGCCGCGUGAGUGAUGAAGGUCUUCGGAUCGUAAAACUCUGUUAUUAGGGAAGAACAUAUGUGUAAGUAACUGUGCACAUCUUGACGGUACCUAAUCAGAAAGCCACGGCUAACUACGUGCCAGCAGCCGCGGUAAUACGUAGGUGGCAAGCGUUAUCCGGAAUUAUUGGGCGUAAAGCGCGCGUAGGCGGUUUUUUAAGUCUGAUGUGAAAGCCCACGGCUCAACCGUGGAGGGUCAUUGGAAACUGGAAAACUUGAGUGCAGAAGAGGAAAGUGGAAUUCCAUGUGUAGCGGUGAAAUGCGCAGAGAUAUGGAGGAACACCAGUGGCGAAGGCGACUUUCUGGUCUGUAACUGACGCUGAUGUGCGAAAGCGUGGGGAUCAAACAGGAUUAGAUACCCUGGUAGUCCACGCCGUAAACGAUGAGUGCUAAGUGUUAGGGGGUUUCCGCCCCUUAGUGCUGCAGCUAACGCAUUAAGCACUCCGCCUGGGGAGUACGACCGCAAGGUUGAAACUCAAAGGAAUUGACGGU